rnacentral:rRNA from 1 species
UACGUGGGGGGCGAGCGUUGUCCGGAUUUAUUGGGCGUAAAGAGCUCGUAGGCGGCUCGGUAAGUCGGAUGUGAAACCUCCAGGCUCAACCUGGAGACGCCAUCUGAUACUGCCGUGGCUUGAGUCCGGUAGAGGAGCAGGGAAUUCCUGGUGUAGCGGUGAAAUGCGCAGAUAUCAGGAGGAACACCAGCGGCGAAGGCGCUGCUCUGGGCCGGUACUGACGCUGAGGAGCGAAAGCGUGGGGAGCAAACAGG